rnacentral:rRNA from 1 species
CGCCUCUUGCAUAAAACCAAAUAUAAGAGGUCCCGCCUGCCCUGUGACUAUAUGUUUAACGGCCGCGGUAUUUUGACCGUGCGAAGGUAGCGCAAUCACUUGUCUUUUAAAUGAAGACCUGUAUGAAUGGCACGACGAGGGCUUAACUGUCUCCUUCCCUUAGUCAAUGAAAUUGAUCUAUCCGUGCAGAAGCGGACAUAACACCAUAAGACGAGAAGACCCUAUGGAGCUUUCAGACGCACAAGAAGACCAUGUUAAUCAACCCCGCUAAGGGAGUAAACCAAAUGUGCCCUACUUGAAUGUCUUUGGUUGGGGCGACCACGGGGAAAUAUGAAACCCCCACGAGGAAAGAGAAUAAAAUCUCAAAACUAAGAACUGCAGUUCUAAGUAUCAGAAUUUCUGCCCUUAAGAUCCGGUAAGCCGAUCAACGAACCAAGUUACCCUAGGGAUAACAGCGCAAUCCCCUUUUAGAGUCCCUAUCAACAAGGGGGUUUACGACCUCGAUGUUGGAUCAGGACAUCCUAAUGGUGCAGCCGCUAUUAAGGGUUCGUUUGUUCAACGAUUAAAGUCCU